rnacentral:rRNA from 1 species
AGAGCGAACGCUGGCGGCAGGCCUAACACAUGCAAGUCGAACGGACCCUUCGGGGUUAGUGGCGGACGGGUGAGUAACACGUGGGAACGUGCCUUUUGGUUCGGAAUAGCUCCUGGAAACGGGUGGUAAUGCCGAAUGUGCCCUUCGGGGGAAAGAUUUAUCGCCAUUAGAGCGGCCCGCGUCUGAUUAGCUAGUUGGUGAGGUAAUGGCUCACCAAGGCGACGAUCAGUAGCUGGUCUGAGAGGAUGACCAGCCACAUUGGGACUGAGACACGGCCCAAACUCCUACGGGAGGCAGCAGUGGGGAAUCUUGCGCAAUGGGCGAAAGCCUGACGCAGCCAUGCCGCGUGAAUGAUGAAGGUCUUAGGAUUGUAAAAUUCUUUCACCGGGACGAUAAUGACGGUACCGGAGAAGAAGCCCCGGCUAACUUCGUGCCAGCAGCCGAC